rnacentral:rRNA from 1 species
GAGUUUGAUCCUGGCUCAGGAUGAACGCUGGCGGCGUGCUUAACACAUGCAAGUCGAGCGAAGCACUUAGGAAAGAUUCUUCGGAUGAUUUCCUAUUUGACUGAGCGGCGGACGGGUGAGUAACGCGUGGGUAACCUGCCUCAUACAGGGGGAUAACAGUUAGAAAUGACUGCUAAUACCGCAUAAGACCACAGCACCGCAUGGUGCAGGGGUAAAAACUCCGGUGGUAUGAGAUGGACCCGCGUCUGAUUAGUUAGUUGGUGGGGUAACGGCCUACCAAGGCGACGAUCAGUAGCCGACCUGAGAGGGUGACCGGCCACAUUGGGACUGAGACGCGGCCCAAACUCCUACGGGAGGCAGCAGUGGGGAAUAUUGCACAAUGGGGGAAACCCUGAUGCAGCGACGCCGCGUGAGCGAAGAAGUAUUUCGGUAUGUAAAGCUCUAUCAGCAGGGAAGAAAAUGACGGUACCUGACUAAGAAGCCCCGGCUAACUACGUGCCAGCCGCCGCGGUAAUUA